UACGGGGGGGCAAGCGUUGUUCGGAAUUACUGGGCGUAAAGGGCUCGUAGGCGGCCAACUAAGUCGGACGUGAAAUCCCCAGGCUCAACCUGGGAACUGCAUCCGAUACUGGAUGGCUUGAAUUCGGGAGAGGGAUGCAGAAUUCCAGGUGUAGCGGUGAAAUGCGUAGAUAUCUGGAGGAAUACCGGUGGCGAAGGCGGCAUCCUGGACCGACAUUGACGCUGAGGAGCGAAAGCCAGGGGAGCAAACGGG
rnacentral:rRNA from 1 species